AGUCAUUUAAAAAUAUUUGACUGGAAAGGUUUUUAACUUUUUCUAAUACUAGCUUGCCUUGCUUUAUAACCUAGCUGUCUUCAACUACAAGCAAUCAUUUAAAGGGGGGCUACAUCAGGCCAGUUUUCCACUGAGUUAUAAUCAUGGAGACCCUAAUUAUCCAGGUUUCAUCUCAAGUUGGGUUGUAAUUCAUUAAAAUUCCUUUUGCCCCUUUUCAGUUGGAUGCGUUUCAGCGUUCUAAAUUCUCGUCUCUUCCUGUUUCAAAAAUGUAGACAGUUAAUAGAGUGUAUUCAUAUCUCAUUUGUUUGUUAAUUUGUUUUUGCAAUGAUCUCUUUGUCCCUUCAUUUCUCUGACCUGUGGCUGUACCUACCUUACCAGUUAAAAUGCAAAUUUUCUUAGAGGCUGGUCCCUACUGAUCAUAGCCAAAGAAUUUUGAUCUUGCAAAAUGAUUUGCAUUUGGAUGAAGGAUUCCCACUGCAAGUAGGAAUUUGCACCUGGAUGCAAAUCCAGAGAGAGCGGGCUCUGCGGGGCUGUGCGGUGGACUUGGGGAGAGGGAGGUGGUGUCUUUGCGGUGACGGAAGGUAUUGCAUUCUGUGAAGGACACAACCCUGCACUACAGAACAGGACUGGGAGCGAAGCCUUUGAUUUUUGCCCUUCUGGAAGGUCUGCAUCGGUGCGAAGCCGUGAGAUGUUGGCAGGUCCACUGUGUAUCAUCAGGGCAGCUGAGUUGAUAGAAGAAAGGACUAUAAUUUACACUAGAACUCUGCUCUGUGUUUGAAGAUGUGCAUUGGAGACUCUUGGGGGAAACCGUUGCUUGCCUCAAAUCAAAAGGGAAAAUGAGGUCUAAGGAGGGAAGGGAACGGGGCCUGUUAACCUUCAGGUGCGACCCAGAGGCCCUUUAUGGCCGGCCAGGUGCAAACACCGUAUCUAAUCUCCCCGGUGUCUGCGGGGCAGCAGCUGCAGCGGUUGGAGGGAGUUCUCGGCUCUCAGAUAUCAGGGAAAUGUCCGUGCCGGUAUUGUCCCAUUUCGGGGUGGCACAAGAAAUCUGCAGGCUGUUUUCCACUUCGACGCAUGAUAGAUCUACACGGAAUGCAUGCCCCGGGCCCAGCAGACAGCGCCUCAGCCAUCUCGUCCUGGAGACCGGGCCAGCGCGGCGGCAGGACUCACCUGUGACACGUGUUGCAAACAUCGGGCUCGAACUCACAACCCUGAGAUCAAGACCCAAAUGCUCCACCGACUGAGUCAGCCGGAUGCCCCCAAAGCUAAUUCAGACUUGGACUGCAUUCAGAGCAUCACAGUAGCUACGUCUGGGGAGAGAACAGUCUGCAAUCAAAAUGUAUUUGCAGCAUUGCUCUUAAUUCUGCAAGCCGGGUUCAGACGAUGGGAACCACGAAAUCCUCCUGUACUCACGCCACCUUCAACAGUCUCAGCAGUGGACUAAGUAUCAGUGACAUGAAGAAUCUGGGAAGAGACCAUUGACUGUCCGUUUGCCUCUGCCCCUGUACUCAUCAUUCCCCAGCUCCACAUCCCCUGGGAAUAUGGAAGAGCCCUGAGUCACUUCGGCAACAGUUUGGAAGUAGACCCUUUCACAAAGGCUUGGAAAACCACAGGUUUCAACUGCAAGCUGGCGAUACACGGGGUAGGAUGUCACCUUGUGAUGCCCGGCCGCGGCGAUAAGCUUUCGCCCCCUCCCGGUCAGCCCCGCGAUCAGGACGGCGAUCAGGAUGGCUCUUCCAAGCCACUCAAAGACUGUUACAACUGAACACUCACCGCACGAAUCCCGUGUUUGAAUACUGGUGUUCAAGGGCACAGGAUCCGAACUUGAACGCAGAUUAGACACUGAGGGUUUGAAUGCGCAGCCUCAUAUUUACCAAGAGUGUGAUCUGAACAAUACUCCUCUCUUCAUGCCUCCCUUUUCUCAUUUGUGGAAGGGACCUCACGGAGGUUGAAUGGGAAUUCCUUCCUUGGAGGGUGGUCGUGGGAAUGAUGUAAGUUAUGGAUGUAAAGCGUUUGGAACUCUGGCCACGGGAGGCCCUAUGCAUGUGAUUAUUACUGCAUUCGUGGUUGGGAAGAUUAGCCUGUGUGCCUGGCACACGCCGACACUCAUUAAAUAGAAACUGUGUCUGUUUUUC